rnacentral:rRNA from 1 species
GAUGAACGCUGGCGGCGUGCCUAAUACAUGCAAGUCGAGCGAACAGACGAGGAGCUUGCUCCUCUGACGUUAGCGGCGGACGGGUGAGUAACACGUGGAUAACCUACCUAUAAGACUGGGAUAACUUCGGGAAACCUGAGCUAAUACCGGAUAAUAUAUUGAACCGCAUGGUUCAAUAGUGAAAGACGGUUUUGCUGUCACUUUUAGAUGGAUCCGCGCCGCAUUAGCUAGUUGGUAAGGUAACGGCUUACCAAGGCAACGAUGCGUAGCCGACCUGAGAGGGUGAUCGGCCACACUGGAACUGAGACACGGUCCAGACUCCUACGGGAGGCAGCAGUAGGGAAUCUUCCGCAAUGGGCGAAAGCCUGACGGAGCAACGCCGCGUGAGUGAUGAAGGUCUUCGGAUCGUAAAACUCUGUUAUUAGGGAAGAACAAAUGUGUAAGUAACUAUGCACGUCUUGACGGUACCUAAUCAGAAAGCCACGGCUAACUACGUG